ensembl:lncRNA
AUGGGUCGCAACCAGGUGUGGCAGGAUCUCUGGCCGGCUCAGUGGUUUAGUCCCGGGAAAGUUGGAGGGAGGAAGAAACGCUUGGCCCAGUGCUUCCCCGUCUGCAGGCCUUGGCUCGGCCAGCCCCUCCUCCACCUGCUCCACAGAACCCUCCAGAGCCCGCCCACCCGUCAUCCGCAGGGUGGAGAGGUUGGACUGAAAUGAUGCUUAGACUCCUUGCCGACCUCCUACGCCUUGACUCUGCUCAGGUCCUAUUUGAUGUUUAAGAACCCCUCUAGACAGCUGGGUAGGGUCAUAGACGGGCAGGUGGAUAGGUAGGGGUAGAUGCCUGACCCGCUGCAGGUGCCAGGGAGGAAUUAGAGGACGUUGUGCAGACGAGUCCGGACCCUUCCGGGUGUGACGCUCCAGGCUGAUUGUCUGCCCGUCGGCUCUGGUUGAGGACCAGCUAGGGGCUGAGCGCUCCCCGUUCUCCCUCCGGGGGUCCGAGCAAGGAAAGGGAGGCGGUGACAGUGGACAGAUCUGCCUGGCUGCUCGCUCCCAGCCUCAGUUUGAAGGGGGUGUUGAGCCUAAUGGGGUUGCGGGAUUACUGGUGGAUUUCUGUUGUCUGUUUGGUCACCGUCCCCCGUCCUCGUGGGUAAACAAGUGGCCUGUGUUUGUAGACGGCUUUCUGAGAUUGUGUAUUUGUCAUCCUUUCUAAAAGUGUUUGCGGUCAUGUAUCGAUAUCGUUCCCCUUGUGCCGCAGAGAAUGUGGAUGCUCCAGGAGAGGAAAGUACCUCCUCUGACCUCCCCUGGAAAAGCAGUGACAGCCGUGCAGUUAGAAGUCACAGUGGCUCAAAGUCCCCAGCGGGUUGGCCUCCUGGCGGUGCGUUUGGGCACGAUGCUCCCCACCCCAGGGGGUGCAGGGAGCAUGACUCUGGAGGCCAAGACAGCGUAGCAGUGAAAAUCACCCCACAGGAAUGGCCAUUUAUUGGUGGCUCCAGUACCAGGCCCCCUGGAGGCUCCAGGGAUGUAUUUGAAUUGUCAUGUGUCAUACGGCCCCCUUUGUUGGUGAGGAAGCUGAAACUCAGACAUAGGGACGGGUCCAGGGUUGCACAGUCUGGAGCCGGGAGUGGACCGACAGGUUCCAACCGGUGUCUCUGGGCUCAGGCGCCUGUGGACGGUCCACUUGCCUGUUCUGGGCGGAGGCUUGCAGGUCCUCAACCCCAUUGGGCCUUCCUCUUUCAGGGCACCUGUCACGGGACGUGUGUUCCCACCCACAGCUUCAGGGGUCACUCUGAACGACCCCCGUUUCCAGCUGUCCUGAAACAGCUCUGAAGCCUCGGCUCUCCCCUCACUAUUGGUGGUGCUCCAUGGCCAGCUCACCUGAGGGCAGAGCACCCGGGCCCCGGGGCUCCCCCACGUGGCUAGCACCCUCCUCACAGUCCACUGGGCGCCCCUGCCCCCCCAGUCAGUCCUGACACCGCGUGACUUGGGCCACUGAGGCCUGUGCCACUUGGCCCAAAAGGUGAAACCACCCUCUUGGCACAGACAGAGGAACCCCAAAACACCGAGUGGGUGAGGCAAGGUUUGCUCGCAAUUUGAGUCCGAGGUUCCUAACACAACACCAGGCUCUUUAAGAGGGAGCAGUAGAUCAAAGGCAGUCGUUACUGUAAGAGGACCUGCGUUACUGUAAGAGGAACUGCUUUGCAGAAAUGGCUAUAAAUGCAGCCCCUUCCUCCAGAGGAGUGGAGCUCUACCAGCAUCACUCGUUAACAUGCCUGUCAUCAGGGUGCUUUUCUUCACCUGCAUCCCCAGGCUCUGGGUCCUGGGCCCCGGUCUGCCUUCGGAUGUCCUGUCUCCACCCAGCUGCCCCUCCCCACGUCCCAGCGCUGCGUCCAAGGGCAGCCGUGGGCCCACCCCUCACCUGCCCACCCUCUGUCGACUGAACAAAUACGUUCCACCUCAAAGUUAAGUUACAUUUGGGGCAAAAUGAGGACUGUAGCCCGGGAGGCGGCAUCGCAGAGAGCUCUGAGGAACCGCCCCAAAGAGGCGGGGGAGGGCAGGACGCGUGUGGUGGUGGCGAAGGGGAGGUGCGUGCAGCCAAGCACGCAUUUUGCAGAAGGUCGCUGCUAGUCUCAUGAAGGUCACUGCUAGUCACGAGGCGCAGAUAUCACCAUGAAGGAUUUUAGUGCUUUUCUAGAUACCAGGAGAUAAGGCAUUGGGCUCCUAAAGAAUUCUCCCGAAAACGCCUAACUGUCUGAGGCCCUGUUCUGCCAGUUUUCCCAGAGCACCGAGGGCCUCACUCCUGGUCUCCACCCUGAGCUCUUUUCGGGGGAGUGGAGGGCCGGCAGGUGCAGUGGCUCAUGAUUCAGUCCAUGUGGAGGCAGGUGCCAGUGCCCGCCUCCAGCUCACAGCUCCGCCAGCCCACCCUGGGGCCCCAAAGAGACGGGGCGCCUUUGCAGAACGACUGGACUCACCCUCUCACGUUAUGGAUGAGGAACCAGGGCCCGGGCGGUGGAGCCAGCAGCGCCAUCUAAGUGAAUCCCCUGCUUCUGAAGCAAAAGCCCAGACUCCUCCCCAAGCAAAGACAUUAAGGAACAUGCAGCAGAUGCCAGGGGCAGGGUUGUACGCCCCCCUCGGCACCCCACCACCACCACCAUCGCAAGCAGCCACUGCUGUUCUCCCAGCAAGUCAGGGGCAGGGAGACUAGGUCAGCGGACACCUCGCCCUGGAUCCGGGGUCUCAGAUGUCCUCACGUCUCUGUCCCCACCCAGCCAUGUCCGCUCUGUGCUCCCCCUUUGUCAAGAGGUGAGUUAGGGUCAAAGGCUGAAGAAUUGAUAAAGAUAGGAGGCCAGGUGGUAGGCUUCAUUCUGUCCAGACAGCAUGCUGUGAUUCUGUGUCAGUAAGAGUGUGGGUAAGUGGAUUAUUGGGCAGGCUAAGGCUUUGUCGCUCCUGCAGGCUGCCCUGGUCAUAGGAGUGCAUGACCCUGGGUGCGUGGGGUUAUGAGAGCGGGGAGUCUAUGAUUCCGGGUCACUACUUCUACGUUGCUGUCCUUCACUGGGGCCAGGAGGUCCACGUAAGAGCAAAGACCAGGUGCCCCCCCCAUCCCUGGACCAUCCAGCUGAGCCUCUGCUGGUCAGUGGGGUGUUUUCCAGGCUGACUCCGCAUGUGAUGGGUUUGCUCACAUGCAGACUGUAUCGUAAUUUCUUCAGAGGAGCCUAUGUUUAAACACGUACCAGGAAGCUCUGCCAGGCAUUUCACAGGAAGUGGUACGUGGGGUGCAGCGUCCAGGUGAUGAAACAGGGAGAGUCGUGUGGAUUGAGGAAGAAGAAAGGCCUUGGUAUCCUCGCCUACAUCCUGCAUCCUGGCAGGAGCGUAGUCGCAGGGGCCCAGGAAGGCGCGGUUUCUAGCGAAUUGGGGUUCCGUAAACCUUUCUACGUCACCGAUGUUUUUCAUUCGCUCUGAGAAUUUAGAUAAUCUUAACCAAGUGACCAGUGUUUGGUUGAUAAGAAUCCUGGUAAUAGUUCGCACGUGCUGACCACUUAGUCUGUCUGGGGUGCUGUGCCAAGGGCUCUGUGGGCACCUGAGCUGGCGGAAGGGAUGACACCCUGAGGCAGUCAUUAGACGGUGAGCGACACUCCGUUGUCUCCUGCUGGUUGCCUUUCAACAUCACGUCUGCCCCUCUCAGCCCAAGGGAGACUAAGUCGCUGUGACUGUUGGAGAAGAUCUCCCUCUGCCAAAUGAGUGAGUUCCUCCUCCGGCUGGUCUGUGCCCUCCUCCGGCUGAACUCCUGCGAGGAUCAUGGGAAAGCCGUCAGGCGCUUCCAGGCCAGCCUCGCCCUGUCUCCUCCAUCCAUUGCCGAUGCCGGGCUCAGGGUUGACUGCUGUUCAUGAGCUGUCACUGAAAUCAGCAGAGGUGCCUCAGCCCAGAUUUUCGUGAGUUCUGGCUUGCAUUUCUGCUGCUGCUCGUGAAUGUGCCAACUAUAAUCACCCCCCACACACCAAAAAAAAAAAAA